GGGAAUGUGGCUUAGUGGUAAAGGGCUUGCCUAGCAUGCAUGAAGCCCUGGGUUCAAUUCCUCAGUACCA
rfam:Dipodomys ordii contig_69745, whole genome shotgun sequence.